rnacentral:lncRNA from 1 species
GUCCCCAGCCUCACAAUCAUGAGACCUAGAUCCAAUCUUAGUCACCGGUGAAAUACGCGUCUCAUUAGUAUCCAGAUUAGGUAGUUUGACUAAUGAUGAGGACCCAGCUCAAGCCCCUCUACGACCUAUACCACCUCCUCUAAUACUCCGUCCACGAGUACCUCUCAUGUUUAUUUUCUAUUUGUGUUUUAUCUGUAUUAACAGUUUUAUGCAUUAGUUUACAAUUUCAGUAAUUAUUAAACAAAUAUCUUAUGUGAAGCAGUAUCAGUAGUGUAAGGUUUGUUUUCGUACAACGCAGUGUCUAUCGGUUUUACUAUAAUAUCUAUAUACACUAACUUAAGUGUUUUCAGUACAAUCUAUGUAUAACAGUUUUAGUUUAAAAUACAUAACAGUUUCAGAGAACUUACAAGAUCGGCGUCGGAGACUCGAGGUACCACAUGUUUAAUAAAAGCACUUUCAAUUUCCAUCAUCAAAAAUCAGUUCUUUAGAACCCAAAUCUACAGCCGAGUUUUGCAACCUGACUUUGAUACCACUAAAUGUAACACCCCAAACUUGGCCUUGAUAUUAUGGCUGAAUCUGGAAAUAUCACAUGAUAGUGCUUUCGAACUCAUAACGAUGCUAAAAUAAUUUCUUUGUUUAAACAACCACUCAUUAUUUUAUAUUAAUUCUAAAUCGUGUCAUUUUUUUUCAAAACGUAAUACUUUACAAAUCAUUAUUUAUUUCCAAAAUGUUAUACUUUGUGGAAGCUUUUUAAAACAGUUUGCGUAUACAUAGUACUUUGAUAAAAUGUUCAUCUAGUUUGGAAACCCGAGUUUUUCCUGCCACUAGCAGCUAUAAAACAUAAAACAGUAUAAAAUCCAAAUUCUAAACCAGAAAUCCGUAAAGGCCAUAAUUACAAUAAAAUGGUCUAUUAAACUUAAAAUCAUAAAAAUGUUAUAAAUGGUUUUAAAGAGAUCGUGUGGCCACCACUAAGUCCUCCACUGCUCUGAUCCGCCUAAGUCUGGAGGUUACCUAUAUAGAUUAAACAAAAGGGUGAGUUUUCGUAAAAUCAGUGUGUAACCCCUAUACAGAACAAACAACCAAUAUACGACCAAUCACAGUCUAGGACUAAACCCUUUUUCAGUAUCAGUAUCAGUCCAAUUUGGGCCUUAGCCCAUCCCAGUACAGUAAGCAUUAGGGCCUUAGCCCAUCACAGUAAAAUAACAGUAAUAGAUAUGAAAUCACAAAAUCCUACCCAAUAAGCCUCUACACUCCAUGUCUGUCCAACCCUGCACUCCAUGUGGGGAUAUAAUCAACCCACCCAUCCCUACACUCCAAGUAGUACCGAAUGCAGCACUAGAAAGUAAUUUGCAGUGGUGUUGCCAGUAAAUUAGGCUCGAAGCCUUUCAGUACAUUUCCUUCGAUCAAUAUCAACCCCUCCCCAUGCAAUGCAUCAUAUAGUCAUGUCAUGCCAAAUCAAGGAAUCAUGUAUAUAUUCAAUACCGUAUUAACAACAUACUUAGUACACAAUCAUACAUAUAAUAUAUGAGUAUUACGAUUAUUCAGCUAUUUCGUUCAGUUAGGGGUCUAGGUAAGCUUACCGACCCUACAGUAGGUCCACAGUCGACUUGGGUGACCCGUUCAACCUUAACAAUCAAAUAGUGAAAAUAGGCUCACACUCUGUAACACCCCUAACCCGAAUCUAUUGCCGAACUAGGGUUAAAGAUAUUAUUGGACAAAAUCGAAACAUUAUCAUUCAUUAAAUAAACAUCGAAGCAUUAAAGAUUAAUCAUUAAUAUAGAGUCCUUUAUAUAGGUCAUCGAGACCUUAAAAAUGUAUUAGAAAGGGGUUGGGACUAAACCGAACACAUACAAAAUUUCUCCAAAAUUUAAACAUUUUUCAAACAAGUACAGGUCACACGUCUGUUUGAACAGGCCGUGUGCCUUACACGACAUUAGACACGCCCGUGUGUCUAGGCCAUGACAAAACAAGGCAUACAUACGGACUUGCUCACACGGCCACGAGACACGCCCGUGUGCUUUGGCCAUAGUCGAAUCUGACUUGGGCCACAAGGCUAGCCACACGCCCGUGUGCCUUGACCGUGCUCGAGCCUGACUUACAAUUGUAGGGUACCCCAGAUGACACACGGCCGUGCAGCAAAGCCGUGUGUCGUACAUGGUUGAGACACACGCUCGUGUCCCUACCCGUGUAGAUAAAAAUAAGCCAUUUGAAUAGCCAAAUUGCCACCCUAAUUGGGUCAAACCUACAAGCACCAAACUAAGCAUAUUUGCACAACAUUUUAUGACCAAUUCACAACCAAAACAUAAGCCAUUCAUGACAUAUAAUUUCCAAACAAAUUUCUAUCUCAAUACAUUAACCAAAUCAUAACAAAUCUAAAAUAAAAUCAUACCAAACAUAAGUUUCAACUUCAUGACCAAACCUUAUCAAUUACCAUAGCUAACACAUGCCAAAAGCUUACAUAUCUUACCAUUUUUUAUAUUCAUACACAAACACACUAAAUAUAUCAUAUUUCCUCAUAAUUCAUAUACCAAAACCAUAUCAUAAUCACAUCCAUACCAAGCCAUAUAAUAUGGCUAAAUAUAUACAAUCAUAAAACAUAAUCUAAACACUUCUAGCCUAUACAUGUCAGGCUUUAAUAUAUGCAUUUUCAAAGUACCAAAAUGAAGUUCAAUAGUGUGAUGAUGAUCCUUAACGAUCCUCGAACUCACAGUAGCUUCGAUAUCUAUAAAACAAUGCAAACACAUACAAAGUAAGCUUUCAAAAGCUUAGUAAGUUCGUACCAAAAUCAACAACAGUAUAUAAAAUAUGAAACAACAACACAUAAGUACUUAUAAAUUCUCUACUCAUCUAUCAAUUUCAUGCCAACAUCAUCCAUAUAUUUACACCAAUUCAAUAAACUUUAUAUGCAUAAUACCAUUUACCACAUAGGUAUUAAACUUACCUGAACAUUCCCGUAUUCAUUCAUUUUCAUUCUCACCUCUUGUUCAGAUAUUUUAAGACUUUUCGAAAUUACCAAUGCUUUAAACAUCUGCACACUUAGUGUUUUAAAGAUUAGUCGAAGCUAUAAUAAUUCCGCACACUUAGUGCUUUCUCAAUUAACUAAAGCUAUCUCGGUAUCGCACACUUAGUGCCAAAUACCAUUGAUUUAUCAUCGUAUUCAUCCAAACUAAAUGUAUAUACAAUCUAUGUAUAAAAAAACAUCAAAACAUACUUAUAACAUCAUGUUUUACGUACGAACUUACCUUGUACUCAGAGUUGUCGACUCGGAUUGUUUACUCAAUAACCUUCGAUUUCCCUUAGUCUAAAUCCGAAUUCCUCUUUUCUUGAUCUAUAUGUAUUCAAAAUUAACCCUUUUAUUCACUAAAUCAUUCAAACCAAUCCAUAUACACACAAUUAAGGCAUAUUGCAAACUAGCCCUCACAUUUUCACAUUUUGACACUUUAGUCCCUAAUUCACAAAAUCACAAAAUGCACAAAGUUUGCUUGUACACAAGCUUAGCCGAAUUUUCAUAGCUCUCAUACAAGUCUACACAUUUCAUUUAUUUCACAUUUUAGUCCCUCAAUUUAUAGAUUUCACAAUUUAGCCUAUUUUACUCAAAAUCAUAAAAAAUCUAAAGACAAAACAUAUAAACCCAAAUCAAACUUUCAUAUUUCAUCAUAUAACAACAUAAAACUCAUGAAUUUAUCCAUGACAAAUUUCAAAUUCAUCAUCAAAAUUAGAAAUUGAGGCAUGGGCUUAGUAAAACACAAAGCAACGAUCACAAAAACGUAAAAAUUAUCGAAAAUAAAUUAAAAAAUGAACUUUGAAUUAAGCCUUGUGUGUGCCGAAACCUUAAAUCUCUUUUUCUUUUCUUUUAAUAUGAUUUUCGGUUGAUUAUGAACAGAAAAUGACCAUAUUUUUACGUCUUUUUUUAUUUUAAUUCAUUUAAUAAACAAUUUACUAAUUUACCCUUUUAAUAACCAUUAUAAAAUCAACUAGUGGAUGGUUAUUAAUGUCUAUUCAAACUUAUAAUGGUCAAAUAACCACAUAAGGACCUCACAAUUAAUAAGCCAAAUCAAGUAGGCACUUUUAACAUAUAGCAAGCAACUUUUACAUUUUACGCGAUUAGGUCUUUUUAUCAAAUUAAGCACACAAACGAUUAAAUUUUCAUAUGAAACUUUCACACAUAUUAAUUCACACAUCAUAAGCACGAAAAAUAAUAUUUAACUAUUUUUCUUACUCGAAUAUGUGGUCCCAAAACUACUAUUCCAACUAGGGUCUAAACCGGACUGUCACGAUUCUCCCCAUUUAGGGAUUUUUGUCCCCGAAAAUCUUACCGUUAAAUAGAUUCGGAUAUUGUCGUCUCAUAGCAUCUUCAGGCUCCUACGUGGCCUCUUUAAUACCAUGUCGAUGCCACAUCACUUUUACUAACAAAAUUUUCUUAUUUCGCAGUCCUUGAACCUCGCGAGCUAAGAUACGGAUCGACUUUUCUUCAUAAGUCAUAUCAGACUGAAUUUCAAUCUCAGAUGGGGAAAUCACAUGCGACGGAUCAGAUCUGUAUCGUCGAAGCAUCGAUACAUGAGACACAUCAUGAAUCUUUUCUAACUCGGGUGGUAACAAUAAUUUAUAUGAUACCGAUCCAAUACGCUCAUUAAUCUUAUACGGUCCAAUAAACCUCGGACUCAAUUUGCCUUUUCUACCGAACCGAAGCACUUUUUUCCACGGAGAUACCUUUAAAAACACUUUGUUGCUUAUCUUAAAUUCAAUGUCUUUUCUUUUCAAAUCUGCAUAUGAUUUCUGACGAUCAGAAGCUAUUUUCAGACUAUCUCGGAUCACUUUCACUUUCUGUUCAGUUUCUUUUAUCAAAUCAAUCCGAUGAAUCUUAUUUUCGCUGAGCUCCGUCCAAUACAAAGGUGUACGGCAUUUGCAACCAUGUAAAGCUUCGUAUGGUGCCAUUUUAAUGCUCGACCAAAAACUAUUAUUAUAAGCGAAUUCAAUCAAAGGCAAAUACUGUUCCCACGUUCCUUCAAACUCAAGAAUACAACAUCUCAACAUAUCCUCGAGUUUCUGAAUAAUCCACUCGGAUUGACCAUCCGUUUGCGGGUGAAAAAUAGUAUUGAAAUGCAAUUUAGUGCCUAGAGUAUCUUGCAACUUCUUCCAGAAUCGUGAUGUGAUCUCAUAUCUCUGUCUGAUACAAUAGAUAAUGGCACACCUUGCAAUCUCACAAUAUCGGAAAUGUAUAACUCAGCCAACUUAUCUAGUGAGUAAUCAGAUCGUACCAGAAUAAAAUGGGUUGAUUUCGUCAAUCGAUCAACUACAACCCAGAUAGCAUCUUUCUUUCUCGGAGACAGGGGUAAACCCGAAACAAAAUCCAUUGUUACUCGAUCCCAUUUCCACUUCGGAACCAUGAUCGGUUGUAACAAACUAGAUGGCACCUGAUGUUCAGCUUUAACUUGCUGACAAAUUAAACAUUUCAAAACAAAGUCAGAAAUAUCUCUUUUCAUUCUGGACCACCAGUAAUACUGUUUCAGAUCAUUAUACCUUUUCAGCCUUACAUUACUCAUAAAAGUCAGUGAUCUCUCUCACGUGUUUUUUUAACUAACAAGCCGAAAAUAUGUAAGAAUUUUGAGCUUGCUAUGUUACAUGUCAAUUAUAAUCAAAUUCCCACUAAAUUACCCUUUCAGAUUGUUAUGAUAUUAUCCUUAAUAAAGGCUAAGAUAAAUGUUGAGAUUUUUAAGAUAUUCUUUAGUUAGUCCAAUCCAAUCUCUAUAAAAUAGAGAAUACAAUUUGCUUGAUAUGGUUGAAGUCUGAUCCUUUGUGAUUUGUUUUUGCAUUAGAUCAACAUCAAAGUUGAGCCACAAACACUUCCAGAAACACACAAGUCGAGAGUCCAAAUAAAUUUAGCUCAAAGAAUCAAAAGAUUGUCAAUCGCAAAUAUUGCAAGUUAUGAUUUUCAGAUCAAUUACCGCUCAAGUUGCAACUGUUGUUGUAGCUGGAACCAUAAUUGUAUUAGAAAAUGAUUAAAAACUUAUUAUUUUUACAAAGUAAUAAAAAUUAUUAUAAGGGUAUUUUUACAUAAUUUUUUUAUAAAUAUAUUUUUUUACAUAAUUUUUUUAUCCACAUCGUAGAUAUGCAAUAGUCUAGUUAUUACAUAUAACCAUAUGAAAAAUAGCAAGAUAAAAAUCGAAUUAAAAAUUGGAGUGAAAGACAUAAUAAGACUUAAAUGUAUGAAAAGUAGGGGGUUUAAAAUUCAAAUCCUCAAAUCGCGUAAUAAAAAAUAAUUAUUAUUUGCUUAAACUGGAUAAAUAUUAAUGGGUGGAUUUAAUUUUAAUUUAGUUGGCAUCGUUAAUAUUUUAAAGGAUGUGGGUUCAAAGGCAAUACAUAAUAUUCUGGAUUCUUUAAGAAUGAGAGGGAUUAUAAGUAAUUUAAAAAUAAUUAUUUAUAAAUUGGAAAUUAAAUUAAAUUUUCAGAUUGAUCCUUAGAUUUUUUUUGUCAGAAGCGGUUCUUAAACUAUCAAUUCUUUCCCAUUUUAUCCAAAAGAUGUAUGUGACUAACAAGAUUAUGCCAUAUGUCAAUUUUUUGCUCGAUACUGGUUACUAAAGUAAAUUGGGAUGAAAUUGAUCAUUUGAGACUACUCUUGUCAAAAAUAAAAUUAAUAAUCAAUUUGAAAAUUAAGGAAUUUAGGGGCCAAUUGACUAAUAAAACCUUUAUGAAUUUUAUAAAGAAAUACAAGUUCCAAGUAACAAAUUGAUCCUAAGCUUUUUGUUUUUUUUUCAUGACAUCUGAAUAAUUAUAAUCAUAAUCUAUUAUUAUAAUGUAUAAUUAAAUUUAAAAUCUAAAUAUAUCCAUAUUUAGAGUAAAACGAAUUUGGAUAUGACCUACGUAGUGUAAGACUUAAAACCCAUGCAUGAUUUGCACAAGAUAAAACAUGCUCGGAUCUCAAAAUUUUUGAUUUAUUCUCUAACUAUGAAUUAUAACCAAAUCAUGGUAAUAUCUCGAUGGGAUAACACAGGUUGAAUUAAAAUUAUUUUUGAAGGCAGAACUAAGUGUCAAUUUGCAUCAAAUUUUUUAUUUGAGUUGUCUUUUUAUGAAUCAAAAAGUGAUAACAAGUUAAUUUGCAUGACAUUUUGUGUUUAAUUUGGUUUAUUUCUGAAUUGAUCCUUGCUAAAUUAGUGCUUUUAUGUUUUAAUCUUGUCAGGGAUGCAAUUAGGACGCUAAGAGACAAAAACGAGCAAAAAAAGACCAAAUUGAAACACAAUCAAUAAAAUGGGGCUGGAUAAAAAAUGUGGAGAAAGCCAAGGACUCAUCAAUUUUUUUUUGCCUUUGUAAAAGCCAAAAAUAGAAAAAAAAAUCUUAUUUUAUUUUAUUUAUUUAUUUUUUAUUUGAUUUUAUGUUAAAGUGGUUAAGGCCAAAAUUAGUAAAUUACAUGUAUAUAAAUAGGGUCUUAAUGCACUUAGGAAAGACACUUAAUUCUACAUUUUGACUUGAAUUUGGAAUUGAAUAGAAUUAUUUUCUUUUUCAUUCAAUUUGGCGUGACCAUACUGCUACUUUCAUUUACAUUUCCUUGUUUUUACAAAAUUGGUCUAAUUACUUUCCAAGUACCUUUUUUUCUCAUUCUUCACUAUCAUCAUCAAAUCACAUUUCAAAGUCUACAAAGCAUGAAUAAUUUCAUGCUUCAUUAAUUUCCAUCUUGGCUUUAGGCUAGUGUUCUUUCCAUUCGAGAAUCGUGAGAUAUGUAUUCAUGCUAAAAAUCCUUCCAAUCGCUAUUCUCAUUUCUCCUAAGUAUCGGGAUUGACAACUCAUCCCUUAAAGCUGACUCGAUUUCAAGUCAAAAAGUACACGUUGGGUUGGAGUCGUGUUUGCUGAAAAUUGGAGAGACGAUUCGGCUGUGUUAUAUUCGAUUCUCCGAGAACAUAUCAAGGAAGAAGUGAUCGGGUUUAAAUAACCCACAUGGUUGAGGUCGUUAAUUCGAGUUGGGUUCUUCAGAGCGCAAGGCUGUUGGAAUCUUGAAUCUGGAACACGUGUAUCUCGGUUAGAUAAUCGGUAAGGGUUGGUUUGUAGGUCGUACGAGAGGAAGAAUUGGUAGUUAAGACGUUCUUAACUGCUAUAACCAGCUUAUCGUUUGGAGGAGAAGAUUAAUUUUCGAGGAGCGAUUCUUAAUCCGGAACCCACCGAGUCUAGGGCUAAGGCUUAAUUAUCUCUGUUUAAAAAAAUCUGAAUUUAUUUUUUGAUUUAAAUUUAUUUCUAAUAUUAAUUAAUUGUUUAUUUAUGUUGAUUCGACUAUUUACUUUCUAAAUAUUUUCAAAACCCCCUGAUUUAUUUGUUUAUUUCUUUUGCAGGUACGUUUGGAGUCGCGGGCAUGACUUUUGCCACAACUUUCAACACGAGAAAUGUUCUGUUCACAAGUUAAACACAGAAAUUGAUUAUAACAUCCAGUCCUUAUGGAUUCGACCUUACUACCACUCUUUACUACUAUUUAGAGUUAUUUUUAUAGGAAUUAUUUUUGGUGGUUUCGAUGCCCAUCAAAUUUUGGCAUUGUUGCUAGGGAUUGGAGAUAUUUUUUCUAAUUUUUUUUGUUUACCUUAUGAACAGAUUAGAACCGAAAACACUAGAGUUUGAACCAAAAAUUGAGAAAUUGGCCCAGCAACUAUGGAAAGAAGCCUUUCAACGCUGUAAACGGCCAAAUACCAGAUUCGAAACUGUAUCAUACGUUGAGGAAAUUUUUUAGUUUGACGAACCAGACAUGAUGGCCGAACAAACUAUACGCCAGCUCGCAGCGGCACCAGAUGAACAACAACCCUUAUAUAUAACCUAUCCUGUAGGAGGAAUGCCGUUUGAGUUGAAAUCGGGUUUGAUUCAUUAACUACCAUUUUCUGUGGAUUACAGAACAAAAAUAUGCACACUCACCUUAAAGAGUUCUAUAUAGUGUGCACAAGCAUGAAGCCUCAGGCCAAAUCAAACUUCGUGUUUUUCCUUUCUCAUUAGCUGACUCAACUAGAGGGUGGCUAUUUUAUUUACCCUCAGGAUCUGUCAACACAAGGCCUGACAUGUCUCGUUUGUUUCUUCACAGGUUCUUCCCUAUAGCUCGAGCAGUCGAACUAAGAAGAGACAUUGUGGAAUCCGUCAGAAAGAGACUGAAUCGACCUACGAUUAUUGGGAGCGAUACAAAAAGUUGUGUGCAAGUUGCCUACAACAUGGACUGACUGAACAAUCACUUUUGUAGUAUUUCUAUGAGGGGUUUCUUUCGAUGGAAAUGAAUAUGAUAGAUGCUGCAAGUGGAGUGACACUAGUCAUUAUGACUCUUUAGAGAGAGUUGAUUUCAAUAAUGGCUGCUAAUUCUCAACAAUUCUAACCGGCUAUAGAACCCACGAUACAGGUUCAUGGGUUAAGUUAUCUAUCUCUAGAAGAUAAAAUUGAUAAGCUAACUAACCUUGUUCAAACUUUGCUUAUAGAUAAAAUGGGCCUAGUACAAUUGUGCGAAAUUUGCGCUAAGCCAGACCAUCCAACAAACUCAUGUUCGAAUUUACAUUAGGAUUCAACAAAACAAGCAAAUAUUGUCGGAAACUUUUCAAGACCGCCCCAAAGGUGAUAUAGCACCUACUCGAACUCAUAUAAUAUGGGAUAGAAGGAUCACCAAAAUCUAAGCUAUAAGUCGAAUCAUCAGUUCAAUCAAUCUUACCAAUAAAGACCGCCUCUGAAUCAACAAUUACCACCCCCAAAGACAUAUUUGGAAGCCAUAGUGGAAAGACUAGUCAAUAGUAUUGAGAAGUUUCAGCAAAAAACUGAAAUACAUUUGCAGGAGUUAAAUAAGCAAGUGAGCAAGCUUGUGCUCACGGUUAGUCUUUUGGAGUCCCAAGGUAAGCUGCCGUCCCAAACUGAGCCUAAUCCUCAAUACAAUGUAAGUGGUAUGACGUUGAUGAGUAGGAAGUUUUUGGAGCCCGUACUUGGCACGAGUUGUGCCCACAACAUUGGUUGAGAUAAGAAGAAACUUGACACAAAGGCUCCAAUGGAGUUAACACUACAAAAACCAUUUGUUAUACCACAUCCGUUUCCUAGAAGACUAGUCAAAUGCAAGAAGGAGCAAGAAGAGAAGGAGAUCAUCGACAUCUUUCAAAAGGUAGAAAUCAACAUACCUUUUCUUGAUGCGAUUAAACAAAUUCUGUGGUAUACAAAAUUCUUAAAAGAAUUAUGCACAAGUAAGAUGAAGCUCCUGGGCUAUGAAAAGAUGAGUUUCAAAGAAAAUAUCUUCACCGUUUUACAAAGGAAAGUACCACCUAAAUGUAAGAACCAAUGUAUGUUUUUCAUAUCUUGCGAAAUAGGUAAUGUCAGUACUAAAAAAGCCAUGUGUGACUUAGGCACAUCAAUUAAUGUUAUGCCUUUGUCAAUUUAUAAACUACUUAAUGCAAGUCAUUUGAAGGAAAUAGGCAUAAUUAUUCAACUUGCAAAUAGAUCUGUAGUGCAUCUGGAAGGAGUGCUGGAAAACGUUCUUGUUAAGGUAAACGAACUGAUAUUUCCUGCAGACUUCUACAUCAUCAACAUGGAGGAUGACAACUCAGUCAAUUCGUCUGAGAUACUUUUUAAGAGACAAUUUUUGAGUACCAUGCGAAUGAAAAUUGAUGUUUAGAGUGGAACACUCACUAUGGAAUUUGACUGAGAAGUGGUUAAGUUUAAUGUUUAUAGGGAUAUGGGUCAUCCCAAUGAUAAGUUACAAAUCGUGCCUUGCAUGAAUGUAGAUAUUGAUUUAUGCAAGAGGAAUUAUAUAUAAUUAACAAACCAAUAUGUGAAGCUGUCAUGAAAGCCUCGAAAUUAGAGCUAAAACCAUUUCCAAAACGUACAAGGAUUUCGACAGAGAAAAAUGCAAACUUGAACGGAGAAGCUCAAAGACGCCUCAAUCUACUAGUGAUAGGGGAAUCCGAGAGGGCUUCAAGGUUAGUGGGCAAAGGUCAAAACUUUUCUGCAAAAAUAUCCAAGUGCACGAGAUGGAAAAAUUAAUUCUUAAUGAGCCAAACGGAUAACAUUUAUGGUCAUCGAGCUAACGACGUUAAACAAAAGCGUUUUUUGAGAGGCAGCCCAAAUUUAUUUUUAAUUUAUUGAAUUUUUUUGAAUUUCAAUUUAAUUUGGAUUAAAAAUAAAAUAAAUAAUAACAAUAUUAUUAUUUAAUCCGGUUCAUGUGCUCUUUUCAGGUACAUUAUAGAGGUUGUCAAAUUUUCCAAAAUCAGAUACUGAUGGUGGCGUGGGCAUGCCGUGCUAAAUGCUGACAAUUAUUUCUCAAUGCCGACAACAUCGUUAGAAACACAUGGGAAGUCUUCUUAACCUUUCUCUUUGCUUGUUGUUUGAGUUACUGAACUUUAUUACAUAUAAAACAAGCUUGAUGACAAGUACAGAUUAAGUGAGGGGAUGAAAAUAGUAAGUAUGCAUGGAUGAUUGAUUGAUUUUUGCUGCAUUUUUUUUUUUGCAUAUGUUCAAACUUAUGCUAGAUUUAUUUGAUAGUUUAUUUGACAUUGAGCCUCUAAUCUCAUUACUUAGUCAAUUUGGACAAUUGGGCAAUUUUUGAAUUAAAAUGUUCAAGUAUCUAAAUUAAUCGACAUAUGUGUUUUACAGUUGAUAUAUGUAACUUGAUAUUUCAUAUAAAUUGAAUGUUUGGAAAAAAAAUUUCUUGUAUAUAAGUAAAUAAAUAAAAUGAAAAAUAAAUAAAUUAAUAAAGGCUCAAGUUAUGAGUGAAAGUUUUGAAAACGUGAUUGAAUUUAGUAACCGGGUUGAGGUGCUUGGGUUGUCAUCUUAUCUCACGUAAAAGGGUUCGAGUGACAAAUCGAAAACCUACAAACAUUCCGCUAACCAAGCCUCCAAAAAAAAAACAGAUUGUUUGAACUGAGUAACUGGGAUAGGGUGCUUGGGUUGUCACCCUAGUUCGCGUAAAAAAGUUUGAUCGUGUCUAAAAUUUUUUAUGAAUGCAUGAUUAACUAAUAAUACCUUGCAAAUUUUGGAUUCAAACUCAAUUUAGUGAAAUGAUUUAGUUAAUAUAUUUCAGUUUUAUGACACUUGUUAAUCAAACUAUAUAUUCUGAGCAUUUAUUUAUUUUUUGUCUAUGUUGUUUGCAUUGUUUAUGGAUGUGAAAAAGAGGCUCAAUUUUUAAUAAAUUUUAGAAUAAUUUCUAAUGUUUGAAGGAACAAUAUGCUUGAGGACAAGUAGGGGGAUUUGAUAACAUGUUAAUUUGCAUGACAUUUUGUGUUUAAUUCGGUUUAUUGCUGAAUUGAUCCCUGCUAAAUUAGUGCUUUUAUGUUUUAAUCUUGUCAGGGGUGUAAUUGGGAUGCUAAGAGAAAAAACAAGCAGAAAAAGACCAAAUUAAAACACAAUCAAUAAAAUGGGGCUGAAUAAAAAAUGUGGAGAAAGCCAAGGAUUUAUCAAUUUCUUUGACAAUGUAAAAGCCAAAAAUAAAAUAAAAAUAUUUUUAUUUUUAUUUUUAUUUUAUAUUAAAGUGGUUAAGGCCAAAAUUAGUAAAUUCCAUGUAUAUAAAUAGGGCCUUAAUGCACUUAGGAAAGACACUUAAUUCUACAUUCUGACUUCAAUUUGAAAUUGAAUAGAAUUAUUUUCUCUUUCUUUCAAUUUGACGUAAGCAUAUUGCUACUUUCAUUUACAUUUCCUUAUUUAUACAAAAUUGGUUUAAUUAUUUGGAAGUACAUUUCUUUCUUAUUCUUCACCAUCAUCAUCAAAUCACAUUUCAAAGUCUACAAAGCAUGAAUAAUUUCAUUCUUCAAUAAAUUCCAUCUUGGUUUUAGGCCGGUGUUCUUUCCUGUCGGGAAUCGUGAGAUAUGUAUUGGUGCUAAAAAUCCUUCCAAUUGGUAUCCCUAUUUUUCCUAAGUAUCAGGAUUGACAACUCAUCCCUUAAAACUAACUCGAUUUUAAGUCAAAAAGUGCACGUUGGGUUGGAAUCCUGUUUGCUGACAAUUAGAGAGACGAGUCGGCUGAUAAUGCUCUAGAAUAACAUAUUUUUAUGUAUUAAUCAUGUGUUUAUUCUUAGCUUGAUCCUACUAAUUUAAGCUAUUUAUGUCUUUUUAUCGAUUAGGGACUGAUUUGGAGGCAAAAGCAAAAUUAAAGGACAAAAGUGCGAAUUUGGAGACACAAUGGGCUGAUAUGCGACACAGGAAAAAGAUUGUGCCAAAAGUGUGAGCAUGGAAGACACAAGGACUAAAAAUGUAAAAAGAAGAGAUUUUAUUUUAUAAGACUCCAUUUUAUUUAUAUUAGGAUGAUUAAUAUCAAGAUAAUUAUUAGGAUUAUUUAAUUUUAGGAUUUUAUUUUACUUAUCUUCAUUUAUCUUUAAUUAAAUGUAUUUAUCUUUUUAGAAUUUAAGUUAAAUUAGACUAUCUCUCUAGCACUAUAAAUAGGGUGUGAAGUGACUCUAUUUGGUGUUCAUCUUUUUCUGUAAACACUCUCCCUCUAAAAGUCUAGGCUUUUGUUUCUUCAUAUUUUCUUUCAAUAAAAUUCCCUUUUCCAUUUUUAUAUUUAUUUCCUUUUCCACCAUUAUCAUGAGCCACUAAAACCUAUCUAGCAGAAAGUUGUCAAUAUUCCCUAAAAAGAGUUCUUGAGGCCUAAAAUCUGUACUUAGCCUUCUCGCCAAGUAUUCAUCAUUUUUUCGCACUACGGGCUGACACUUCCAUCCAUGGCCCUUAAGAAGUAAGCUUUUCAGCAUAUGCAAAGGUGGCUGUUUUGUAUGUUUUGGAAGGAUUGCAUAGUCGGUUCGUUAACUUACUACUUCAAAGGUUAGCGAGCCAAAGAAACGAAAUGGCGUGGGAUUCGCCAUUGAGAAGCGUUGAUCUAGCAUAAAUUACUGGCUAGAGUUAGGUUCCCUAAAAAUCGUAAGUCUAAUCUUUGGAGCUGGUGGUCUAAGGCAUCCUCUUCCACUAUAACUGGCUUACUUGAGUUGAGAAGGGUCAUUUAAAAGUCAAGGAUCGAACCCAAUGUGGAAUGAGACAACUGGAGGCUGGAAUCUACCAAUAAGAAUUUCUUUUCCUUCAACUCUCUUUAUUAUUUUUAUUAUUUUCGUAAACACAAUUUCAGUCAACUUUAGAUUCUGUUUUUUAUUUUUUCCAAAUCAAAUUUUUAAUUCUGUUAUUUUUUUAUUUUUUUCUGUCACGCAGGUUUUCUUGGACACGAUUCUGCCUAGGAUUUCGAGAAACAAGCAUUCAUAUAAUCCAAUCCUACUUCCCAUUUACUGUUCUUUUUCAUUAUUUUACAGGGAAUAGGAUAUUUUUGGUGCUCUCAACGAUCACAUCAAUUUUUGGCGCUGUUUUUGGGGACCGGUAAUGUACUAAUCUUGUUUUUUUGUUUCUUAUGACCAGAUCUGCUCCAGGAACUCUUACAUUUGAUUCGGAGAUUGAAAAGACUGCAAGAGCAAAUCGCAAGGAAACAAAGCUAAAGAAAAAACAGUCAGCGGUGGUUGGGACUCAAAGUAAUCCACCGCCAGGAAUCAGAAUCGACGACGAAGCAGAGUCUAGGGUUAACAAAAACCCUACUCAAACUUUUGAAGGCGAAAAAUUAGAAGUCGAUUCCCCAGAAGAAGUGAUUAAUGCUAGUGUUAACGUAAACCCUAAUUUAGCACCUCAACCUAUGGUUCAGACAAUUCGGCAAUUGGCCAAAGCGCCGACGAAACAACCGCCACUAUGCACACGUAUCCUACUAUGGAUACUGAUUUCGAGCUAAAAUCAGGAUUAAUUCAACUACUGUCAACUUUUCGUGGGUUACAAAAUGAAAACCUCCACAAGCAUUUAAAAGAAUUCCAUAUGGUUUGUUUGAGUAUGAAACCUCAAGGGGUAACUGAGGAUCAAAUUAAAUUGCGCGCUUUCCCUUUUUCCCUAGCAGAUUCAGCUAGGGAAUGGUUAUUUUAUUUACCUCCUAGAUCCAUUACAACUUGGGCUGAUCUAUCUCGCUUAUUUCUUAACAGGUUUUUCCCUGCAUCACGAGCGGCUGAGUUAAGAAGGGAGAUCGUGGGAAUAAGGUAAAAAGAGGCAGAAUCUCUGUACGACUAUUGGGAAUGAUUUAAGAAGUUGUGUGCGAGUUGCCCACAACAUGGUAUAACAGAGCAAUCUCUCCUCCAAUGCUUUUAUGAAGGCCUGAAACCCAUGGAGAUGAAUAUGGUAGACGUCGCUAGUGGAAGAGCAUUAGUCAACAUGACUCCUUAACAAGCAAGAGACUUGAUCUCCACAAUGGUGGCAAAUUCUCAGCAAUUUUGAGCUAAUCUUGAACCCCCUAGAAGGGUUCACCAGCUAAGUAAUUCUACUUUUGAGGAUAGACAUGAUAGACUUACUAAUAUUGUGAAUUCUCUUGUUGCAGAAAAAGCAAAACCAGCUCGAGUAUGCGGAACAUGUGCUACACCUGAACAUACGACUGAUGCGUGCCGUAGUCUGUGUGACGAUACUAUGGCCCAUUUAGAUGUUGUGGGAAAUUUUCCUGGGCCACCACAAAGUCGAUACGACCCUUACGCUAAUACCUACAACCCAGGAUGGAGGGACCACCCUAACUUUAGUUAUAGGGCUAAUCCACGAUAUAACCACCCAUACCAAAAUCAGGUCCUACAACAGCCACAAGAUUCAGGUAAUUCUCUAGAAAUUUUGGUUAAUAAAUUAGCAGCUAAUGUCCUUGAUUUUCAACAGUAAACUCUUAAUUUCCAAAAAAACGAAGGCAUCUAUAAGAGAAUUGACCACGUCAAUUGAGAAAUUAAGUUCUCAAGGGAAGCUACCGUCGCAAACAGAACCAAACCCGAGACAGAAUGCAAAGGCAGUAAUGUUGCGAAGUGGAAAGGUGCUGGAACUAAUUCCUAGUAAGAAUCUUGGCCAAGAAAUCGCCCAAGAAACUCCAAAAAAUGACGAACAGAUCCGAGCGAAACCCCCACUGCCAAAAAUCCAACCUUCAUUUCCAGGACGACUAAACCAGUGUCGAAAAAGUAAGGAAGACAAAGAGAUCUUAGAAACAUUCAGAAAUGUCGAGAUCAACAUACCACUAUUGGAUGCCAUCAUACAGAUUCCAAGGUAUGCCAAAUUCCUUAAAGAGCUUUACACCAACAAACAAAAGUUAACAGGCAAUGAAAAGGUAAGUGUUGGUGAAAAUGUUUCCGCAGUGCUACAGCGGAAAAUACCGGUUAAAUGCAAAGAUAGGGGUAUGUUCGCUAUUCCAUACAAAAUUGGCCAUUUAGGAAUUAAAAAGGCUAUAUGCGAUUUAGGGGCGUCCAUAAAUGUAAUGCCUUAUUCUAUUUAUGAAUCACUUAAUGCGGGUUUUUUGACGAAGACAAGUGUUAUUAUUCAAUUGGCAGACAGGUCUAUUGUGCAUCCCGAAGGAGUCCUCGAGGACGUCUUGGUAAAAGUUAAUAAACUUAUUUUCCCUGCCGAUUUUUACGUAAUAAAGAUGGAGGAGGACAACACUGCUGGAUCUUUAGACCUCUUGUUGGGCCGACCCUUCUUUAGUACUGCUAGUACCAAUAUCGAUGUUCGAAGUGACACUCUUACGAUGGAAUUUGAUGGGGAGAUCGUGAAAUUUAAUGUUUACGAUGCCAUUAGCCAUCCAAGCGAAAUCUUGAGUGUAAACCGUGUCGACAUAAUUGACUCAUCAGUAGAAAAAACUUUUGAGACAUCUUAUGAAGAUAAAUCUAAAAUGAUGUUUGGUGAUUUUGAAUCUGUUAAUAAAUUAUUGGCUCCCAUGAAUACUAAACUUCUACCUUCUAUUGUGCAGGCACCAGAUCUAAAAUUAAAACCACUUCCCAAACAUCUCAAAUUCACAUUUUUGGAGAAUGAUGAGACCAUUGCUGACUUAAAAGGGAUCAACCCCUUGGAGGAAAAUACGGAACCAAAGAAAGAGGCACAAGGACGAUUAAACCCAAAUGUAGUGGACAUGUUAAAAAAUGAGAAUUUCCAAGCUCAUAAGAACAAAAGAAUUCAGCUGGAACAGCCCCAAUACUAGUUGGGGCGUCAAGCUAGCGACGUUAAACAAGUGCUUAUUGGGAGGCAACCCAAUUUUUAUUUUUAUUUUUAUUUUAGUUUAUUUUAUUUUUAUUUAUUUUUCUUAUUAUUUUCUUAUUUAUUGUUUUAGAUAUUAAUAAAAUUCUCUUCUUUUGUCUAGGUAAACCGAAGAAACAAUAGGAAGAACUCAUUACCAUAAUACGCGAACGACAGUAACUACACGAGGAGUUCUUCUAAACUUUUCUUCUACCUAUUUAUUUAUUUAUUUCACAUCGAAGACUAUGUGUUUAAGUAUGGGGGAGACAUUCCUCAUUAUUUCUGUCGUUUUAGAUGCUGAUUUGGUUGUUGCUGCCCAUAUAUAUAUUUUUUUAAGAAUAUUUUGCCUCUUUUCAUGACCAAGAUUUUGACCAGGAAUUGCCUACUGUUUGCCCCACAAGCAUGAUUCUUGCCUUAUGAGGAAGUCAUGAUUUUUCCCCAUAGUUGAUGUCAUUUCCACUGUUUUAUUUUUAUUAGGCUAAAAAUAAUUGUGAUUAAUGGAGUUAACUCUAUCUUACUUUUCGUAAAAUCGAUCAAGUUUAAUAUAAAGUGAACACUUAAAAUGAUUGCAUGCUUAAUUUAUGUUCAUGGCUAUUAGGUGAUUAUUGAAACUUGUUCUUGACACUUAAAUUGUUUUUCCUGAGUUCUCAAAAUGUUAAUUUCAUUUAAUUGUUAAUAAAUUUUUCCAUGGUUAUGAGUACAGCUUAGAACGUGACAGACUGAGUAACCGGGGUAGGGUGCUUAGGUUGUCAUUCUACUUCGCGUCAAAAGAUUGUGUGACGUGAUAGUUAAAGCUCCACUAACCGGAAUUAAUUCUUAAGAAUGCGUUGGGCUGAGUAAUCGUGGUGGGGUGCUUGGCUGUCAUCACUCUUCGCGUCAAAAGGUUCCACAUGUUCUUAGGGAAAAUAAAAAUAAAAAGUAUGUUGGGCUGAGUAACCGGGGUUUGGUGCUUGGCUAUCAUCACUCUUCGCGUCAAAAGGUUCAACAUACAUACAUAAAUAAAUAAAUAAAUAAAUAACAAAAAAGAAAAAAUAUAUAUAUGUAAAUAAAUAAAAUUUGGGAGUAAGGAAGAAACAAAGAGGGUGUCUUGGUAAGUUUAGUAAUUCACCUAAUUUCUAUGAAAUAAUUCAAAUCGAUUUUAAUUUCUGUGUAUUAAUUGGAAAACUUUUUCUAUUUUACUUAAAGCAAACUUAAGGUUCUCUUUAUUUUUCAUAGGGUUCUCUUUAUUUUUCAUAUGCGUUUUAAACUAAUUCUUAUGAAACUUUGGAGUGGUAUUUCUUUUAUGGCAGAAUCUAACUUUCACAGUAGAUAGGAACCAUACUUGAGGGCAAGCAUGGGCUAAGUAGGGGGAAUUUGAUAAUGCUCUAGAAUAGCGUAUUUUUAUGUAUUAAUCAUGUGUUUAUUCUGAGCUUGAUCCUACUAAUUUAAGCUAUUUAUGUCUUUUUAUCGAUUAGGGACUGAUUUAGAGGCAAAAGCAAAAUUAAGGGACAAAAGUGCAAAUUUAGAGACAUAAUGGGCUGAUAUGCGACACAGGAAAAAGAUUGUGCCAAAAGUGCGAGCAUGGAAGAAACAAGGACUAAAAACGCAAAAAGAAGAGAUUUUAUUUUAUAAGACUCCAUUUUAUUUAUAUUAGGAUAAUUAAUAUUAAGAUAAUUAUUAGGAUUAUUUAAUUUUAGGAUUUUAUUUUAAUUAUCUUUAUUUAUCUUUAAUUAAAUGUAUUUAUCUUUUUAAAAUUUAAGUUAAAUUAGACUAUCUCCCUAGCACUAUAAAUAGGGGGUGAAGUGACUAUUUGGUGUUCAUCUUUUUCUGUAAACACUCUCCACUUGAAAGUCUAGGCUUUUGUUUCUUCAUAUUUUCUUUCAAUAAAAUUCCCUUUUCUAUUUUUAUAUUUAUUUCUUUUUCCACCAUUAUCAUGAGCCACUAAAACCUAUCUAGCCGAAAGUUGUCAAUAUUCCCCAAAAAGGGUUCUUAAGGCCUAGAAUCCGUACUUAGCCUUCUCACCAAGUAUUCAUCGUUUCUCCGCACUACGGGUGACGCUUCCGUUCAUGGCCCUUAAGAAGUAAGCUUUUCAGCAUAUGCAAAGGUGGCCGCUUUGUAUGUUUUGGAAGGAUUACAUAGUCGGUUCGUUAACUUACUGCGUCAGAGGUUGGCGAGCCAAAGGGACGAAAUGGCGUAGGAUUCGCCAUUGAGAAGCGUUGAUCUAGCAUAGAUUACUAGCUAGAGUCAGGUUCCCAAAAAAUCAUAAGUCUAAUCUUUGGAGCUGGUGGUCGUAGGCAUCCUCUUCCACUAUAACUGGCUUACUUGAGUUGAGAAGGGUCAUUUAAAAGCCGAGGAUCGAACCCAAGGCGGAAUGAGACAAUUGGAGGCUAGAAUCUACCAAUAAGAAUUUCUUUUCCUUCAACUCUCUUUAUUAUUUUUAUUAUUUUUGUAAUCACAAUUUCAGUCAACUUUAGAUUCUGUUUUUUAUUUUUUCCAAAUCAAAUCUUUAAUUCUGUUAUUUUUUUAUUUUUUUCUGUCACACAGGUUUUCUUGGGCACGAUUCUGCCCGGGAUUUCGAGAAACAAGCAUUCAUACAAUCCGAUCCCUGAGGAUUCGACCCUACUUCCCCUUUACUGUUCUUUUUCAUUAUUUUACAAAGAAUAGGAUAUUUUUGGUGCUCUCAACGACCGCAUCAUCGGCCGUGUUGUAUUCGGUUCUCCAAGAACAAAUUAAGGAAGAAGUGAUUGGGUUUAAACGACCCACGUGGUUGAGGUCGUUAAUUCGAGUUGGGUUCUUUAGAGGGCAAGGCUAUUGGAGUCUUGAAUCAGGAACAAGUGUAUCUCGAUUAGAUAAUCAAUAAGGGUUGGUUUGCAGGUCGUAUCGGGACCAGCUAUGAGAGGAAGAAUUGGUGGUUAAGACGUUCUUAACUGCUAUAAUCAGCUUAUCAUUUGGAGGAGAAAAUUAAUUUUUAAGGAUCGAUUUUUAAUCCGGAAUCUACCGAGUUUAAGGCUAAGGCUUAAUUAUAUCUGUUUAAAAAAAAUUGAAUUUAUUUCCUAAUUUAAAUUUAUUUCUAAUGUUAAUUAAUUGUUUAUUUACGCUGAUUCAACUAUUUACUUUCUAAACAUUUUCAAAACCCCCUGAUUUAUUUGUUUAUUUUUUUUGUAGGUCCGUUUGGAGUCGUGGGCACGACUUUUGCCAUGACUUUCGACACGAGAAACGUUCUGUUCACAAGUUAAACGCAGAAGUUGUUUAUAACAUCCAAUCCCUGUGGACUCGACCCUACUACCACUCUUUACUACUAUUUAGAGUUUUUUUUGUAGGAAUUAUUUUUUAUGGUUUCGACGCCGAUCAAAAAGUUGUCUCUUAAUUUUGUAGCACACUUUGAAACGCAUCAUUUUAAGUACAAGGGCUCAAGUUAUGGUUGUUUUGGUGAAUGAUGCACGAGUUGAAAUUUCGGAUGAGUUCAAUAUAUAUUUUGAUUAUUUGAACAAAACACAUAACAUCUGAAUCAAAUAUUACAUGAAAGGAAAAAGAAACAAAAACAUAAUUUGAAGCUUGACAUACGAUUUUUAAAAAUCCCUUAUUUUAACACUUUUGAAAAAGUUUCACCCUUACAUAAAUUACCUCUAAAAAGUUAAACUCUAAUUUGAGCAUUUAGCUUUAUUCAUACGACAAUUAUUAUUGUUGAUUAAUAUGUUGAAGCAAGUAAUAGUAUACUUAGUAGCUUCCAAAAACAGAACCUUAAACAUGGGAAUAUAUAAAGCAAUUCAUAGAGUAGUUUUUAAGCAUGAUUAUGGAGGAAUAACAAUUCAAAGAUCUGAAAAAAAAGCUUCAUAUCACCCACCAAACCUCCUUUGAAUAUAAUAAAGUGAAGACCAAAACCCAAAUCAUAUAUACCUAUUCUUCUUGUUGCCCUCAUAGGAGAUCAAAAGGGAAAAGAAGAAAAGCAAUAACAUGUUUUUUUGGGUUUGUUUGAGAUUAUUAGUGUCGAUUAAUUACAUUAGAUUCUAUUUAAAUCUAAAAUCGAGUCGAAUCAGACCUUUAAAUGAAAGACAACUUAACUUAUUAUUAUUUUUUCUAUCCAUAAGGUUCGAACCCAUAAUUUUACUUAAAAGAUAUCAAAUUUUUUAACACUCGAUUAUUACAACCUAUAAGUUUUAUUUUAUGUAAAUAAAUUAUUUUGUGCAUUUGCGAAUCAACUUAUGAUCAAUCUCUUCAAUUAGUAAGACGUUUUGAGGGAAUCAAAAGUAUGGGCAUAACUAGCAUUGAUGUCAUGUAAUGUCAAGAUAUGUUUCUAGAUCAAAGGCAUUUUAAUUAUUCCUUUUCUUUUGUCUUUGUUUUUUAGUGGUCUAAUUAUGCUCUCAAUUUUUGUACCCUUUCAAUACUUUAAAUUUAGUCCUUUAAAAUUAAUUUCAAAGAUUUAAUUUUUCUACUUCUAUGAUUAAAAUAUUAGUAAUUAAUUUCCAUUAAAUUUAAAUAUUAAUUUUUAAAUCAAACAAGUAAAAGGACUUUACUUUUUUAAAGUCCACUAUUCAAAUUCAAUGAAAGUUAUGUUGUCAUUUUAACAGUAGCAACUAAUAUUAUUAUCAUUUUUUACCUACUCAAAACAUUAUGUGGAAAAUUAAAUUAUGUCAAAUUAAAUAGAAAGACUAAAUUUUAUUUUGACUUAUAUGAAGGUGUGGUUAAAGCUCUUUUUAGAUAUCCAUUUGACAUGGGUUCAAACCGCAUGACCUCCUUCCCUAAAGAAUAGGGAGAGUUAAAACUGAGGGUUCAACACUAAACCCCCAAAAAAUUAUUUUAUUUCCUCCAAAAAAUUAAUUAUAUAAUCUAAAUUAUUUUAAAAUAAUUUUUUAUUUUUAACCUCUCAAAAAUUUAAAAAUUUAUAUCGCUAAACAAAGUUCCUUUAAAUUCUUUUUAGAAUUAAAAAAUUAUAAAUUAAUAUAACUUUUUUUCUAAAAAAAUUAUAAUUUAAAUUUAACCCCUUAAAGUAAAUUUUUAAAUGUGCUUUCUUCGUAGAGAAUUGAAAGUAGUACAUAUAAAUCACCGAUAUUAAAGGGUGCUAAUGAGUAUUCAACCAAGCGAAAUACUCAAAAAGUGUUUCAACUUUCCAUAGUUUUCUUUUCUUCCAUAGUUCUCUCUUUUUUGUGCUUUCGUCCUUUAGUGUGGAAAAAACUUGCUAAGUUGUUUAAAAUUAGACUAAAAAAUUUGUUUAAUCAAAUAAUUAUCUGCAUUCUUGGUUUUAAUGUUGUGGUCAAACAUGAGAUUAUGUUUGCAAUUACAUCAUGUUUGCAAUAUAGAUUUUGUACCAUCUCAGUCCAAAUUAGUCAGCAUUAAAACUAUGUCUUCAUUUUUACAUCAUCUUUUUGACCAAAAAAAAACAAAACAAAACAAAACAAAGCAUAAACACUUUGGGAAUUGUGUUUACCAACUUGGGUUUGAUCCUACAUGAAAUCAACACUAAACCUUUUUAGUUGAAAUGAAAGUACCCAUAGCUUAAAAUUUUAAAAAUUAAACGCGUAAUUGUUCUAGUGUUUGAUAUUCACUUGUAGAAUUCAUCUAAGUUUGAGUUUUAAAAGGAGUAAAUAAUUUGAAUAAUUCCUUUAAACGCGUAAUAUAUAUGAUAUAAGAAUAUAUGUCCUUACUGUGUGUGUAAGUAUUAACCGGAAAAAAAUUUAACAAUUUGCAUUAAAAAAUAUUCAUAUACUAGUGGGAUAGUUAAGGCCUAACCCACUUUGGGGAAGGUGUAAAGAUUCUUGACUUUGAUAUAUUUAUAUAUAUAAAUAUUUUUCAAUUUUGAAUCUUUGAAUGAUGGAAGAAUAUGUUCAGCUUUGAAUCCAUGGUACUUUUAAGAGCCACAUACAUGAAAUUAUUUAGGCUUUAUGGAUCAUAUCACAUUUUCCAUUGCCAUUUGCUCUUAGCUUUUGACUGAGAAAAGUUGAACAACUUGGAUUUGCUUCCAUAUGAAAUAUCUAUUAAAAAACUCCCAACUCACUCUCUCUAUUGUUAUUUGUAUCUAACAAUCAAUAUUUUCAUAUUUGUUAAUAUGGGAAACUUUUUAUUAUGUCCUGUCAAGUUUUCUCUCCAAAAUAUAAGCAAAAACCCUUACAUUUUCUUUGAAUGUAAUUGGAGAAUUAUUUUAUCUUUAAGAUUUUAAUUAUCUCAAUUUAAAAAAAUUUAAAAAGUAAAAUCUAUAAUUGUUGAGAGUGAUUGCACAUAAAUAAUGAUUUAGAACCCCAUUAGAUACAAAUAGACUUAUAUUUCAUUGUCCAUUUAAAGAUAACCUUCAACUCAAUACGUGAUGCGUCAUACAUCUAAAGUAUCACUUGAACUAGCUAAUCAAGUGCUCUCUCGAACUGUUACCUUGCUCAUGGAUCUUCUAUAUGCUAGAAAACAUAGGUUCCAACCAUCACAUGUACAAAGCUUUGCAGUAGUGUGGCACUUGCUCUUCAACUUACGUCCCUAAACUUUCUUCAAAACUGAGUUUAAAACUUUGAAGGUAUAUUGGUUCUUGAAUGAUACUUAAAAAGCAUUUUUAUAUUAAAGGUAUAAUGACAAAUUCAACCCUUAAUUUGUUUUGUCAAUUUAGCCUUUAUUAUUAUUUUAGUUAAAUUUAGUCUUCAACCUUUUAAAAAGAGUCAAAUUUGACCAUCAUCUUUUCAAAAAAAGAUAAAUUUAUGCGUUUUCAACAGAAAUACUGACUAAAAUGUUAAAUUUUAAACAUGACAGUGCGCAUGGCAAUCUAUGUGCAUUUCAUGUUAUUUUUAUUUGUUUUUAUAUAUUUAUUAAUUUUUUGAAUAGUUUGAUAAAUUUUAAAUUAUUUGUUAACAUGUUAUAUAAGAUAAAUAGUAUCAUGUCAGCAUAAAGUACAGAUGAGCUACCAUGCCAACAUCAUUAACAAAAACAAUAUUUUAGACCGUACUUCCAUAAAAAAAUGAUUUAAUUUUCUUGAAAGAGUAAUUUCUAAAUUUAGCUACAAAUAAUAAUAAACAAAUUGACAAAAAUAUAGACAUUGAGGAUUAAAAUUUUCUAUUAUAUGUAUAUUAAAAUAGCAUUAUAUAUAUAUGAAUUUGACCACUAAGUUGAUGACAAAAGGCUUGUAAAUUGGUCCCAUUUGGAUAUUGGACCAACAUUUUGACAUAAAAAAUCUAUAUCUAUCUAAAAGAUCACACAUGAACUUGUCAACAUAAAAAUAAAGAGGAAACAAAAAUGGGGAUAUAUUAAAAUAGCAAAAACAAUAAAGCUUUCUUCACUUUUAACACCCAUAGCUAGAUUUGUAUCUUUGAAUUUUUUAUUUUUUAUUAAAAAAAAACCCCAAAUUUAGGUAAGAAAUUUUGUGUUCAUAUUCCUUCUUAAUCUGAAGAUUUGAUUCCAGACAGAAUUUUUCUUUUUCUUUUCUUUUUAUAAUAUAAUUUCAUACACCUGAAGCAAUUUGCAUGCUUUGUAUUGGUAGCCCAUGCACAUCAUACAUAUAGAGAUCUCUUUUUAGCAAUAUUUAAUAUUAUUAAGUAGAUGAAGAAUAUGUACUGUCUUUUGUGUGUAUAUAUAUAUAAUCUUAAAUAUGUGUUUUUAUUAAUAAAUUAUUAAAAUUGGUUGGUGCUGAACAACUCAGUUGCAGUUCUACAAAUCUUACACCAGACAUAGCAUAUGCUUUGAAUUCUUGCUUCUUUGAGUCACCAUUUAUAAAAAUUCAAAUAAUAUAAUUGGUAUAUAAUUAUUAUUUUAUUUAAAGAGUUUUAGGUGAAAAAGGAUAGAGAUUAUCCAUAUUAUCAUCAUUUCAAACUCCCAUCUAUGUUGGAUUAACAAAUUUUAUCUAUUAAAAUAUAGAAUAAUUCGAUUUAUACAAUGUUCGCAACAAAUAAAAGUAGAAGAUUUUAAUUUUUGUUCAAAAGCACUUUUGAGAAAUAACGAUAAACUAAGCCUUGAAACACAUGGAUUAAAUUUAAUCAUAUCUAUAAUUGUUGCAUGGAUAGCUUAGACAUGACGUUUUAAACAAAAUAACCCUCCUAAAAUUUGAUGAUGACAUUUGCUUCUUCUUUUUUUUUUUUAACAUGUUAGAUCCAUGUUGUUAUGUUAUAAGUAUACGUAUAUUUAAAUUUUAAUAUGUUUAUUCCAAACCCGAGCUUGCAUUUAACACCAAUACUGGCAUUAAACUAAUAAGACUUGGUUGAUACAAUAUUCAUACAUUGAAGAUUCAAUUAGAGUUGUUUAUAGGUCAAGCCUAGGCACAAUAUUAACGCACUUUAUGUUUGCCUAAGCUCAACCCAACCCUAUCCUAAAUAUGGGCUUAAAAUUUGCUCAUGCUCGUCUAUAUUUGUAUAUAGUUAACUCAAACCCAUUUUAGGUCUGCCCAUAUUAAUUUUUUUAAAAAUUAAAAUAUAUAUUAUUUUUAAUUUUAUUUUAAUUAUUAAAUUUUUACAUAUAGUCAUCUUAACAUAUUUUUUUGUUUGUUUGUUUUGUUUAUGUUAUAGUAGUAUAACUAUAAAUUUAAUUUUUAUGUAUUAUAAAUUACAUAAUAUCUAAAAAUAAUAAAAUAUAAAGUAAUUCAAACUAAAAAAAAAGGGUCAGGCAAGCCUUACUCUAACUUAUGAAUUUAAUCUGAUUAAUUAACUGUUUGUUUAUGGUUUAAUCCACCAAAGACCUGUUACCCAUGUAGGCCUGAACCCAGUUAAUUAAUGAAGUCCAAAAUACACACCACAGCUGAAAAGGCCCAUCAACCACUUUCAGUCAAAUUCCAGGUCAAAUCAUAAACAAACGCGAGAAUUAGGUAAAAUGACAAAAAGUUGUUCUCAAGGAUUUAAUCCUCUUCCUGGAUUACGAAAAAUUAAUCAUCAAAUUCGCUUCAAUGGAUACUUUUAAGUAACAAAAGAAAAAGGAAAAUCACAUGGUUACAAAAUUUCACACAUUACAUGAGAAAUAGCUUGGAUUGAAUUAACAUCGUCCCUUCGUCCAUAAUGAAAACACUAAAACAUAAAAUUAUUUAAAGCACAACACGACAAUACAAUUAAUUUCCAGCUGCACAAGGUCAUCAUCAUCAUCAACUCGUAGCUCAAGCUGUAGCAGCAGCACCUGCAACAACAAUAGUGAAAUAGUUAAUAUCAAAUUCAUUUAUGUGUAUAUAUAUUGGUACUAAUUUAGUUACUUAGUGAAGAAUGUGAUAUUCAUUAAUGGUGAUUAAAGGAUAGUGAGAAUUUCGUCCCUACCAAUAACGAAAUGGCAGCAGACAUAGUAGCCAUGUGAGGGGAAUUAUUAUAGGGCCUUGUGAUAGGAUUUAACUUGGUGUUAUUAUUAACUUUUUUUCUGAAGGAGUUAAAUCAUUCUCUAGUGUCUAAAUUUGGCAACUAUUUUUAUAUUAAGGUUUGAAAUAUUUUUUUUCAAGUUAGUCCUUGAUAUUUUCUUAAAAUUCAAAUUUUAAUAUGAGAACAAUUAUUAAGUUCAAGAAUUAAUUUAAAAAAAAAAGUCUCAAUACGAAAAUUAUUAUCAAAUUCAAGUCCCAAAUAGUGAUUUAACCCUUUUAAAGGUUGAAAUAAAAACUUGAUCUAACCAUGGAGGCAUGGAGUACGUACAAACAAGAGCUAGUUGCAAACCCUUCACACAUAAUACAACAAGAAGAAAAUGAUAGCUAUACGUCGCAGAAUGUAAGGUCGGAGAUUGAAGAUGGUUCACACGAUGUGCUGAGAGCCACUAGUGAUGGUUUUUGAGAAUUUGGAGAGCAUAAAAGGAAAUGAAAGGUUUCCGAGAGAGAAUUGACAAAGUAGUAAAAUAACAGUGGUGUCUUAACCCUCCUUUGAGAAUUCUCCUAAAUAGAUUGGUGGCAGCAUCAUGGAGAGCUCUUAGUAAAGGUUUUGCUAACAGGGGCUAAAAUGUUAGUAAAAUUAUAUAUACCUUGAGAUUGAAGCAAAGAAACGAAUUCACAAGCUUCAUGUUUCUUGCAACAUUGCCCUCUUUUGCCUUCAACCUCCGGAUGGAUCUUCCUUUUCAACAUUCUCCUCAUCGUCUAAUAAACCAAAAUAUAAAAAGAAAAAAAAAACCCAAUUUGCUUAAUCAACUUACUAAUUAAAGCUUUGUUUAUGGUUUCAUGGCCACUCACUUUCUGUAACAUUUUGAUAGGACCUGAACCUUCUCCUACUUGAGGAACCAGUUUCAUAGCCAAAGAAUUUCCCUGCUUUGUUCCAACAAUGGCUUUUUUGCCACAAUUCAGUUCCAUUUCAAGACCGCUCGGCGAGUCUGCGGAGAAGAGCUCUGCCAAUGUGGUUCUUCUCCGAUUCCCAGACUGGCCCUUAAUUUCACAAACCGGCAUUGCCUCGUCCUUAAAACCGUGGUCCAAAGCACCGAACAUCAGCCGAUUCACUUCUUCAUUACCAUCAUCAAAAUGAACAUCACCAUCAUCGUUAUCGCCGACACUAUCGUCGGAACAUCGUUGUUCUUCCCCGUGCUCGUCAUCGUUUUCGUAAUCUUUUUGUCCACCCGAUUCCAAAGGGUCAAAACCGAGGGUGCCAAUUGUUAGAAUGCCAUCAAGCACAUCAACCAGAGCUACUUGCUCGAUUACAAUGGCUUCAUCGGUAUUCUUAACAUUUGGAGCCAACCCAUCUGCACAAAAUACCAAAGUUCUCUCAUGAUCAUCCAAUGUGAUAAUGUAGAAUUAUUAUGAAAAUAAACAAGCAUUAAUAUAUAAAUACUUGGACCGUUAUUAUAUAUAUAUAUAGGAAUUGAACCUUUGAGGAUGGUAUGAUUGAAUCUCCUAUGCACCCAGUUGAAGAUCUAUUAUGUAAAAUUUAACAUUAAAAACACAAAAAUUCAGAGGAAAUAUACUCAUUAGAAAGGAAAUAUAUAAUUUAUGGAUAUGUUGAAAUUACCUUCAUUUUUUUUCAGACAAGCUUUUGUUUGGUGAGAAAAAUCAAUGCAAUGGGCAAAGUGUCAAAAGAAAAUGUAGUGAGUGAAGGGGGGGACUGGCUGGGAAUGUUUUGUAGAGGAAACUGUAGUAAAAAAGCAAAGGGUCUAGUUCUUGUUCUUGUUGCUGCCUUGAAACCUAUAGGGUUCAAUCUUUCACCUCCCACCAUGGCUGAUGCUUUGGAUUCCUUUUAAACCAUAUCUGAUUCCAAAGGGACAUACAUAUGCUAUGCCUCUAUCUAGCUACCUUGGUGGGUCACCUAAGGUCCCUCCGGUCAGGGUUUAUCAGCAAAAAAGAGUACUUCCAUUCACUUCAUUUGAAAAAAGAAUAUAAAUUAAUUUGUUCUCGUUUUCAGGGGAAAAGACUAAUAAUUUGAGCAGUUUUUAAUCUGUCUAUGAAUACAUAUAUUCUCUCAUUAUUGUAGAGCAAACAGCACAAUCGUUUGCUUUAUAAUUAUAGGUGGCCACAAUACAGGUUUGAAGAAAUAAGGACCACAAGUUCCUUUGAGCUUCUACUUUAAACACGUUACAUAUCUGUUAUCUUUAGAGCACAUGCAUUCAAAUCUUGAAGAAAUAACCAAUAACCAUAUCCCUCUUGGCUCAUACUUGCUUAGGGAUUUUAGUAGGUUCCACUAAUUCCACUAAUUGGGCACAUUGUGAGGUGUUUUCUUUUUCUUUUUCUUUUUCUUUUCUUUUUUUUUUGUCUAUUUGGGUGGAGGGGGAGAUUAGACUCGUUUGAAGAGAAGUCUAUAAAGUGUCGAGCCCAAUAUUAAACUUGAAGUGUCUGUAUUCGAUUGGAUUUUGUAUCGCGACUCCAUCAAGAGCCUCAAAGGGUCCACAAACCCUUCUUACCCAGAAAUGCCAUGGGUAUAUAUAACAACUCGAUAGUUAGGGGUAUCGAAAAAUGCAUUCUUGAGACUCCGCUUCAGUAAAUCCGACUCGUAAAUAUUUUUAAUAAAUAUUUACAAAGCUAGUUGUGUAGUUAAUUAAGUUUUGGUUAAGUAAAAUUGUAUGAAUUAAGAGUAAUUAGGUAUAAGGACUAAAUUGUAUAUAGGAUAAAAAUUGAAUUAUAGAUUAAAGAAAAAUUAAAAGGGACUAAAAAAGCAAUUAUGUUAUUAUUCUUUAAUGAGUCGGCAUAAAGUAAGAUAUUUAUAAAUUUAAUAUAUAUUAUAAUAAAAUAAGUUUAAUUAAUAUUUAAGUAUAUAUAUUAUAAUAAUAAUAAUAAAUUAAUGUAUAAUAAAAUAAAAUAAGUAAAUGAAUAGAAAGCCAAAGCCAAACCAAAAAUAGAAAGGGAAGAAAGAAAAAGAAAAAAAGAAAGAAAGAUGCAAGGUUUAGGGAUUUCUAGGGUUUAAAGCUCAAUUGGUUAGUUAAUUUAGUCUCUUUUUUUUUGUAAUUUUUAUGUUUUUGAGAUUUCGGUGUCAAGUACUACCCAACACAUGUCGAAAUUUUAGCAAUUAUUGAGUUUUUAAAUGUUGUUAAUGUUGAAUAAUUUUAGUAUUAGGGAUUAAAUUGAUAGAUUUUUUAAACUAGAAAUGAAAAGGGAUUAAAUUGUAGAAUAAAUUGUAAAAAUUUUGAAAUUUAGGGAUUUAAGUGAAAAUAGGGAGUUAAAUUUAGUUUAAAGUGAAAUUUGUAUAAAAAUAUAGAAUUAAUUGUAAAGAAAUAAAAUUAGUCUCGGUUUAGGGACUAAAUUGGAAAUUAGGAAAAUAUUGAGUCAAAUUUGAAAUAUCUAAUAUGAAAUUGAAUUGUGUUGUAUUAAUGAAUUUUAAUUGUUUUAAUUUCGUAGCUAACGUCGUACCAAAAUUAUCAACUAAAAAGGGGAAAUAUAAAGUUGACGUGGAGUAACUCGAAAUUUUUGGUUUGUAUUUCUAUAAUCUGAACUUAGUUGUUAAUUGUUGUAAUUCAAUUUAAUGCAUAUGGUAAGUGUUGAUGUGAGUAAUUGAUAUUUGAUAAUUGAUUGAAAUGAAUUGAAUUGGUAGAUGCAUAUUGAAUAUAUUGAUUAUUGAAUUGAAAUAUAUAAGUGUUAAUGUGAAAUUUGGAUAUUGGAUAUUGUUGUAUUUGGAAAGAGAAUUGGAACCCUAUUAAUUGUAUCAAGUUGAGUCGGAUAUAAAUGGCAUGCUAUAGGAUUGGAAGAGUUUAGGGAUUUCUUCGACUUCGAGUCAAUGAGGCACUGGGUGCCAAUUUACUUCGGUUUAACCGAUGAGAUACUGGGUGUCAAAUUUAUAUAGUAUUGGGCGCAGUUAUUACUUCGGAUUUAUCUGAUGAGGCACUGGGUGUCAAACUAGUGUGUUGGUUGAAUCUAUGUAUCCGUCUGAGUCUGAGUCGUGUUAAUAGGGGUAAUUAAAUAAAAUGGUACAAUGAUUGAUAAUCGAUAAUAUUGUACAUGAAUUAUGUAUUCAUGAAUUGGAUAUUAUUAUUGUUUCAAAUGAUAUGUGGAUCAAAUUGUGAAAAGCUAUUAUAUAGCAAAUGAUGAAAAUUGAAUAAGAAUAUGGUAUAAAAUGAUGUAUUUAUGUUUUGAGUAUUAAAUGGUUAAUGUUAUUGUAUAAAUAAACAUGGUUUUAAAUAUUCAAUUAUGUCUAUUAUAUUGCUUUGUCUUUAAUUAUUCGGAUUAUAGAAAUACUAUUGAGUUUUACUCAGCGUACGGUUUUGUUUUCCGUGCGCAGGUUAGGUACUUAACUUUUGAUCGCCGAUUCAGCAUCCAAUAACGAUCCUGAACUCAAACGUGAUUAUGUUUAUCUUUUGUGUCGACAUGUACCUAGGGUGUCUAAAUAAUAAUUAUUUUGUGGAUUGAAUGUAAAUGAGAUUAUAAGUUUAAUAUUGGUUGGUUUUAUACAUAUAAAUAUGUGUUAGUUUUUGAAGUCAUCAUAUUAUGGCACGGUAAAUUGAACUAAAUCAAGACAGGUGCAUGUGAAUUUAAUUCUAUGUUUAAGUGCUCAUGAACUAGACAAAUUGAUUUAGAUUUGGUAUGUUUAUAAUUUGGAUUAAAAUGAUGCUCAUGAACUAUUGCAUUGGGAUAAUUCAAAUGCAAUUUCAACAUAUGAAUUGAAGAAACCAAAAUCCUUACUUGCCUGUCUUAAAGUUUGCCUAAACAUCUCAAAUAUGAACAAUGAUUAGUCUGCCUCUUUAGAUUUAUCUUGCAUAUCUCGAAUAUAGAUAGUUUAUUAUAUAGUUAUGGGUGAUGAGCCAAUGUACACUAUCAAAAAUUCUGCCUAUUUUUCUGUGUGUUUUUCAUUUAAUGAUUGGUUCAUGAACUACUAUUGAUUUCUUCUUAACAUCCUCUUCGAGUUCAACCCCUUCCUCCUUUUAACAAUAUCUCUGCUAAGGUUCAAAUGUGUGUUUUUUUCUUCUGUGUUUUAUUACAAGUACUCAAUACUGGUUAGUAUAAAUAAUUAUUAUUAUUUAGGAUUUUUUUUUUUUUGAAUUUUGCUCUCAAAUUUUCCUCGAAAUUAUAUUUAAAAAAGAGAUUAGUGAAUUUUUUUUCCAAAAUAAUAAAGAAAAAGGCAGGUCAUGAACUGAUGGAUUAAGAUGAAGGAAAGCUUACGAUUUCAAAUUUCAACCACAAAAAGAAGAUUCAUAAUAUCUUAUCAUCCCCACCUCUUUCUCCUACAAACGUCACAAACCCUAAUUCUCUCUCUAUCCAUGGACCCUCUAUCAAGCUCUGUUUCUUCACGCCUCAAACCCGCCAACUUCAACUCAACACCUCGCCAAUUGCACCCCUUAAAACCACUCAACAGACCGCGUCACCUCCCUCCACCGUCACCCCAACGUCCCCUUCUCUUCUCCACCACCAAACCAACCACUAUCUCCACCUCUUUCACCCACAAAAACCUCACCGCUCCUCCUAUCUUCCCCCACCGCACCUCACUUCUCCCUUCAUCAUCCCUUCAUGUCCAUCGAACCCCCGCCACCGGCUACGCCGCAGCUCUAUUAGACACAGCUCAAUCCACCGGUUCACUUCACGAAGUCCGACGAGACGUACGAAAGCUCUCGAGACUACUCCAAAACAGUC